UGAUGAUUGACAAGUGUCGAAAUUUCACUCCUUUUGAGUGUAGAUGUGGAUUUGAUCGUAGAUGUAUUUGUCUGCUAGAGAGACAAAAGUAAGUCUUCUAAAUAUGCAUAUAGUUGAGAGUAAGUAGCCAUCGACGUGUAGUAAAAUGCAGUCCAUUCUAUCAGCAGAAGCUGUCUAUAGCAGCCAACAGCUGCUUUAUAUACUGUUUAAUUCAAGUCAGUAAACAAUUCUGAGUAUGUCAAGAGUGUUAACAAUAAUUAUAAGUGUGUCAAGGAAGUGUUUACAAAAUAUUGAUUUAUUAUUCCAAUCUUGUAUUAUAAUAACGUUUCGCGUACGUUUUCAAUGUUUAUAUUCUUCUAUAAAAUUUGUAAUAACCUGUGGACGAUGCCCUAAGUAUAAAAUUAACCCUGCUAUGUAUGCAACAAAUAAAUUAGCUUCAUCCGAAGAAACUGGAAUGGUGUUGGCGUUAUCAGUGUUUGGAUGGGUUUAAGCCAAGAAAAGGUACAUGUGUUGUGUAAUAUUUACGUCUGUUUACAUUUUCGGAUCUUUGUGUAAUAUUCGAUCUUCUAUUAUAAUUAUUUAAAAUGUUAACGAACAGACUUGCAUGUCGUUUUUUCUAUUACAGCUUUAUCAUAUAAGUAUUGGCUAAAAUUUCGUAAAUCGACAAUCCAGGCUGUUAGAUUGUCCUGUGAUGCCAAUUGUAACUAACUUUUUUAUAAUUCAGCUAUGGCAGGACCAGAAAAUAAAGAAUUAUAAUCAACCUGACUUACGUUCCCCACCAGGAAAUGUAAUAUUUUUCUUAGGUUAUUGUAAAACUGUUCUGGUUUUUGAUGUUAAAUCCUCCCCUUAGGCUUGCCUUAAUCCAAGUCUAAAUCCUAUAAGAUGUUCAUCAUUAUCUUUUAUGACAGUAUAUAAUCCUUGUUGUAACUUAUAACGUAUAUCAGAUUUUUGAUACUGUAGUGUUCUCGGUGUAAUUGAUUUUAAAUUUUACCAGGGGCGCGUUCUUCGACUUAGCGUCGGUUUCGACGUUAGUGACGUCAGAUGUAUCGCGACCGAAAGCGAAGUAGGACUACGUC
rnacentral:lncRNA from 1 species